rfam:Holdemania filiformis DSM 12042 genomic scaffold Scfld10, whole genome shotgun sequence.
GGCUCGUUGGUGAAGUGGCUUAACACAGCGCCCUUUCACGGCGUCAUUCACGAGUUCGAAUCUCGUACGAGUCA